GUCCGUCGCUGACUCGCCGCCAUCCUCGAUCCCUUCCAAUCGGAUCCGGCGAUUGGCACUUGCCUCCUGCUCCCCAGCCAUGGCGGGCUCAGAUCGAGUCUAAGAGGGCGACUUUGCGCGCGGCGGGUGGACUUCUGGCCCCGGGAUGCGAGGAGAACGAAGCUUGGGGUCCCGAUGGGGCGAGACAAGACCCGGCGUGUCUCUGGGAGCCGCCACCCCCGCAGCGGCUGGUGCUGGCGAUGCUCACCUCCACGGCUCCACCGGCAUCGCCAUCGAAGACGUCCGCUCCGGGGACGCCGCGCUGGGGCUCCGCUCGUACGAGAUCUCCCUCCACCAUUGAUCUGAACGGGACAUGCAUGGCCUUGGUCCCGCGACAUGAGAGCAGGUAAUAUAAUAAUCUCCUAUCUCCCUGCUCCUGGAAUGAUUUGGUUUGGCCUCCGAUGUGGUUGGUGUUGAGAUUUGCUUGCUCGAGUCCAGUGCAAGUACUAGUUCUAUCAUUAGUAGAAAAAUAAGAACUAACGAUGUAGUCAAAAGACUUGUGCCUUUUAUUCAUAAUAAAAAAGUUCAAUAUGACCUGAAUACAAACUGGUAUAGUACAAGGUUCGAAACACUAAUAAACUAGUAAUGCUUAGAAUCGACAAGAAACAAAUGAACUUUAAUUUUGUUCGGAGCCAUAUUUUUGCCAUAUGUGCUCUAUCAAAUCUUCCUUGAGCCGACGAUGGGUCUGUCGAUCUCGAAUCUCACUAUUUUUCUCUAGUACAUCUGCAAAUCCAUAGAUAGGUCUGUGGUGAAGUCCUGCUGUUUGCGGGGAAAAUGGCCCUUGUUCAUACGUGCUUGUCAAUAUUCUAUCAUCUAUCUUUUGGAGUUUAGUCUGGCUACAAUAUUUGUGAACACAUAAAACUUAUCGAUAUUCCAUUAGUACAAGCAGACAAUUACAUUAAGCUUUAACCAUAAACUAAGCAUACAUUAAGCAUUAACCAUACAAAGAGUACAUUAACCAUACAUAGCUAACUUCUUUAGAUAACUUCUUUACUGGUCUUCGAGUUCUUAGAUAAUUUGAGCACCGCAACCUCAUGUCUCUUCAGCUUUUCUGGACGCCAACCACUUUUUCAUCCUUGUUUCUUCCCGUUUUGCUUUGGCCGAUUCUACUUGUGCUUCUGCUGAUUUCAAUAAUGCUUCAGCUCUAAUCUUGAUAGUUUCAUUGUACAACACUAUAUUUUGAGAUGGCAGGUUCCCCAAUGGAGAAGAUGAAGUGCCUUUUCCUUUGCCUUUUAGUCUUUCUUUUGCUUUCUUCUGUCCCUCAAGCAGGAUAGCAUCCAGGUCGCCCAAUAUUCUACCCGUCAGAGGGUACAAUUUUCAAUAGCUGUGAAGAGGCAAGAGAUUUUUUUAAUCUUUAUUCAUGAGAAAUUGGUUUUGGUGUUCGCUACGGACGAAGUAACAAGAACAACAAGGGUUAUAGGACAAGGCAAGAUAUUGUUUGCUCAUGUGAGGGCUCAUCACGGAUCAGCAAUUGUGCUUCUGUAAGGACUGGGUGUAAAGUGAUGAUAAGGUUGCUUAGAACUAGUGUGAUCAUGGAUGGUAUAUUAGCCGAGUGAACACAAGCCACAACCACAAAUUAUCCGAGGGGUAUGCAGAGAAGAAACAAUGGAAUUCUCACAUAAUGAUAGAUGCAACCACCAAGUAUUAUCAAGAAACAAAGAGACAACAAUGUGCUGUUACAUUUGGACAGGCAAGAAAUACCAAAGUUUAAUAUAAUGCAAAGAUGGACAAAGGAGGCAAUUGUAUAUAAUAUAAAUCACAGGCACAUGACAGUGAUAUAGGAUCAGAUGCAGAU